rnacentral:misc_RNA from 1 species
UACUCUCACACUUCUGAUUCGUUUUCGGAUUGGGAGCGGUGGACUUGGGUGUUGCUGCUUUACUGUGGCUCACCUCAAAUGAGUUAGUGCAACUCUUGGUUGGACAUAGUACGGCGUGAUAAGUAUCUUCGCCGGCGCCUCGCUUCAGAGGGUGGCCGAUUGGGAGCUCUGUGCUUCAAACCGUCUUCGGACAAUCUCUGACA